GAGUUUGAUCGUGGCUCAGAUUGAACGCUGGCGGCAGGCCCUAACACAUGCAAGUCGAGCGGUAGAGAGAAGCUUGCUUCUCUUGAGAGCGGCGGACGGGUGAGUAAUGCCUAGGAAUCUGCCUGGUAGUGGGGGAUAACGCUCGGAAACGGACGCUAAUACCGCAUACGUCCUACGGGAGAAAGCAGGGGACCUUCGGGCCUUGCGCUAUCAGAUGAGCCUAGGUCGGAUUAGCUAGUUGGUGAGG
rnacentral:rRNA from 1 species